rnacentral:rRNA from 1 species
AGUGAACGCUGGCGGUAGGCCUAACACAUGCAAGUCGAACGGCAGCACAGUAAGAGCUUGCUCUUACGGGUGGCGAGUGGCGGACGGGUGAGGAAUACAUCGGAAUCUACUUUUUCGUGGGGGAUAACGUAGGGAAACUUACGCUAAUACCGCAUACGACCUACGGGUGAAAGCAGGGGAUCUUCGGACCUUGCGCGAUUGAAUGAGCCGAUGUCGGAUUAGCUAGUUGGCGGGGUAAAGGCCCACCAAGGCGACGCUCCGUAGCUGGUCUGAGAGGAUGAUCAGCCACACUGGAACUGAGACACGGUCCAGACUCCUACGGGAGGCAGCAGUGGGGAAUAUUGGACAAUGGGGGCAAGCCUGAUCCAGCCAUACCGCGUGGGUGAAGAAGGCCUUCGGGUUGUAAAGCCCUUUUGUUGGGAAAGAAAAGCAGCAGGUUAAUACCCCGCUGUUCUGACGGUACCCAAAGAAUAAGCACCGGCUAACUUCGUG